rnacentral:rRNA from 1 species
AACAAACGCUGGCGGCGUGCCUAACACAUGCAAGUCGUACGAGAAAAUUCGCUUCGGCGAGUAAGUAAAGUGGCGCACGGGUGAGUAACGCGUGGAUAACCUGCCCUUUAGCUGGGAAUAACUCAUCGAAAGGUGGGCUAAUACCCGAUAAUACUGCUUUUACUGCGGUGAAGCAGUCAAAGGUAGCCUCUGUUUACAAGCUAUCACUAAAGGAUGAGUCCGCGUACCAUUAGCUAGUUGGUAGGGUAAUGGCCUACCAAGGCGGCGAUGGUUAGCUGGUCUGAGAGGAUGAUCAGCCACACUGGAACUGAGACACGGUCCAGACUCCUACGGGAGGCAGCAGUGAGGAAUCUUGCGCAAUGGGGGAAACCCUGACGCAGCAACGCCGCGUGAGUGAGGAAGGUUUUCGGAUCGUAAAGCUCUGUCAGGUGGGAAGAAAUGUAUAAGGGUCAACAGCCUUUAUACUUGACGGUACCACCAGAGGAAGCACCGGCUAACUCCGUGCCAGCAGCCGCGGUAAUACGGGGGGUGCAAGCGUUGUUCGGAAUUAUUGGGCGUAAAGAGCGUGUAGGCGGCUUGAUAAGUCAGAUGUGAAAGCCCUGGGCUUAACCCAGGAAGUGCAUUUGAAACUGUCUUGCUUGAGUAUGGGAGAGG